rnacentral:lncRNA from 1 species
GCGAGAGGCGGGUGGCGGGCGCGCGGGUCUCCCCGCGUCCUGGAUGCGGACUCCAAGUAAUCGGCGUCCCCUCCUUGUGGGAAGUGGAUGGAUCUGCAGGAGCCAAAUCUCUGGUAGUGACGAGUGAGCGAGCCAGGCUCUCGGCCUUUCAUCCUGUCCGAAAUAGAAGUCUCUUGGGCCUCUCCUCGGACUGCCGGCUCAGAAGACAAGUGGCCUGAUCCGCAGACCUUUGGAAGAAACACAAGAGCAGGUUUUGGGGCUGGUGUCUGUGGAAAAUGCGUUCACUUUAGGACAUACUGAGCCUGAAGUUCAGCUGAUGAAAGGAGCAGCUUGAGAAGGCCUUCACUGUGGAAUUUGGCUUAUGAGGCCCUCCAGGACCAGUUCAACUGACCCCAUCUCUUAUCAACAGAGUGAUUAAGAAUUGCCUUUCAUCUCCUGCUGGACACUGGCCCAGCCUUGCCAUGUUAAAAAGAAAUCCAAAAUGAAAAAAAAUGAGAAUUGCCUUUCAGAAAAUCUGCAGAAUCAUGUAGCCAGGGCACACACAAAAGAAGAAACGUGACCUGCAACUACCGUGGAAACAAAGAUCCUCCUUCCCACAGAACCCAAGGACUGGGACACGACCGGAACUUGGCAAUGGACUCUUAUCAGAAGCGAGGGAUCCCUCAUUCAGAAGAUCUGGUGUUAAAAUUCCUUCCCCACCUCAUCAAAAAUGUUUAGAACCCUGUUAGAAAUAUUUAGAACCUCAUCAUAAAGGCUUGAAGCCCACCGGUCAAAGCCUGUCCCACCAGCAUUUCUGCAUGCCAACCUGUCUGUCCUCCAUAACCUUUUAAAUUUUGCCCCAAAUCCUGAAUUGGGGAGACAGAUCUGAGGGCACAUGCCCCCUGUUCUCCCUGCAGAUCAAUUUCGCACAGUAAAACUGACCUCUUUCCCCAAAGGCUGAUGCUGUAAUUAAUCAGUUUGUUUAUGUGCAUCGGGCAGUGAACCCCAACUUUGUGCGGUAACAGUCUC